UACGAAGGGUGCAAGCGUUACUCGGAAUUACUGGGCGUAAAGCGUGCGUAGGCGGUUUGUUAAGUCUGUCGUGAAAGCCCUGGGCUCAACCUGGGAAUUGCGAUGGAUACUGGCAAGCUAGAGUACGGUAGAGGAUGGUGGAAUUCCCAGUGUAGAGGUGAAAUUCGUAGAUAUUGGGAAGAACACCGGUGGCGAAGGCGGCGAGCUGGUCCAUUACUGACGCUGAGGCGCGACAGCGUGGGGAGCAAACAGG
rnacentral:rRNA from 1 species